UGACGAACGCUGGCGGCGUGCUUAACACAUGCAAGUCGAACGGAAAGGCCCUGCUUUUGUGGGGUGCUCGAGUGGCGAACGGGUGAGUAACACGUGAGUAACCUGCCCUUGACUUUGGGAUAACUUCAGGAAACUGGGGCUAAUACCGGAUAGGAGCUCCUGCUGCAUGGUGGGGGUUGGAAAGUUUCGGCGGUUGGGGAUGGACUCGCGGCUUAUCAGCUUGUUGGUGGGGUAGUGGCUUACCAAGGCUUUGACGGGUAGCCGGCCUGAGAGGGUGACCGGCCACAUUGGGACUGAGAUACGGCCCAGACUCCUACGGGAGGCAGCAGUGGGGAAUAUUGCACAAUGGGCGGAAGCCUGAUGCAGCAACGCCGCGUGCGGGAUGACGGCCUUCGGGUUGUAAACCGCUUUCGCCUGUGACGAAGCGUGAGUGACGGUAAUGGGUAAAGAAGCACCGGCUAACUACGUGCCAGCAGCCGCGGUGAUACGUAGGGUGCGAGCGUUGUCCGGAUUUAUUGGGCGUAAAGGGCUCGUAGGUGGUUGAUCGCGUCGGAAGUGUAAUCUUGGGGCUUAACCCUGAGCGUGCUUUCGAUACGGGUUGACUUGAGGAAGGUAGGGGAGAAUGGAAUUCCUGGUGGAGCGGUGGAAUGCGCAGAUAUCAGGAGGAACACCAGUGGCGAAGGCGGUUCUCUGGGCCUUUCCUGACGCUGAGGAGCGAAAGCGUGGGGAGCGAACAGGCUUAGAUACCCUGGUAGUCCACGCUGUAAACGGUGGGUACUAGGUGUGGGGUCCAUUCCACGGGUUCCGUGCCGUAGCUAACGCUUUAAGUACCCCGCCUGGGGAGUACGGCCGCAAGGCUAAAACUCAAAGGAAUUGACGGGGCCCCGCACAAGCGGCGGAGCAUGCGGAUUAAUUCGAUGCAACGCGUAGAACCUUACCUGGGUUUGACAUGGAUCGGGAGUGCUCAGAGAUGGGUGUGCCUCUUUUGGGGUCGGUUCACAGGUGGUGCAUGGCUGUCGUCAGCUCGUGUCGUGAGACGUUGGGUUAAGUCCCGCAACGAGCGCAACCCUUGUUCACUGUUGCCAGCACGUUAUGGUGGGGACUCAGUGGAGACCGCCGGGGUCAACUCGGAGGAAGGUGGGGAUGACGUCAAGUCAUCAUGCCCCUUAUGUCCAGGGCUUCACGCAUGCUACAAUGGCUGGUACAGAGAGUGGCGAGCCUGUGAGGGUGAGCGAAUCUCGGAAAGCCGGUCUCAGUUCGGAUUGGGGUCUGCAACUCGACCUCAUGAAGUCGGAGUCGCUAGUAAUCGCAGAUCAGCAACGCUGCGGUGAAUACGUUCCCGGGGCUUGUACACACCGCCCGUCAAGUCAUGAAAGUUGGUAACACCCGAAGCCGGUGGCCUAACCGUUGUGGGGGAGCCGUCGAAGGUGG
rnacentral:rRNA from 1 species